CCUACGGGAGGCAGCAGUGGGGGAUAUUGCACAAUGGGGGGAACCCUGAUGCAGCGACGCCGCGUGGGUGAAGAAGCGCCUCGGCGCGUAAAGCCCUGUCAGCAGGGAAGAAAAUGACGGUACCUGAAGAAGAAGCCCCGGCUAACUACGUGCCAGCAGCCGCUGUAAUACGGAGGGGGCAAGCGUUAUCCGGAUUUACGGGGUGGAAAGGGGGCGCAGACGGCGAUGCAAGCCAGGAGGGAAAGCCCGGGGCCCAACCCCGGGACUGCUCUUGAAACUGCGGGGCGGGAGUGAAGGAGGGGCAGGCGGAAUGCCUGGUGUAGCGGUGAAAUGCGUAGAUAUCAGGAGGAACACCGGUGGCGAAGGCGGCCUGCUGGACUGCAACUGACGUUGAGGCCCGAAAGCGUGGGGAGCAAACAGGAUUAGAUACCCCUGUAGUC
rnacentral:rRNA from 1 species